UACGGAGGGGGCUAGCGUUGUUCGGAAUUACUGGGCGUAAAGCGCACGUAGGCGGCUUUGCAAGUUAGAGGUGAAAGCCCGGGGCUCAACUCCGGAAUUGCCUUUAAAACUGCAUCGCUAGAGUUGUGGAGAGGUAAGUGGAAUUCCGAGUGUAGAGGUGGAAUUCGUAGAUAUUCGGAAGAACACCAGUGGCGAAGGCGACUUACUGGACACAUACUGACGCUGAGGUGCGAAAGCGUGGGGAGCAAACAGG
rnacentral:rRNA from 1 species